UGAUAUUAAUUUGCACCGGUUGCUAACAAUAACAGUAAGGGUCUUAGGGGACAAUGGAAAGCCAAAAAACUGCUCCAGCACCACCAAGCUUAGCUUACAGGGUGUGCAAGACCAUAUUAAAUAGGCACCAAUAUUAUUUAGACAAAACUACACCCUACACUAAAGUCAGGUGGUUAUUUGGCGUUGCUCUAUUUUUGUUUUACACAAUAAGGGUUUAUCUCUUACAAGUGA
rnacentral:sRNA from 1 species